ACGGGUAACGGAGAAUUAGGGUUCGAUUCCGGAGAGGGAGCCUGAAAAAUAGCUACCACAUCUAAGGAAGGCAGCAGGCGCGUAAAUUACCCAAUCCUAACUCAGGGAGGUGGUGACAAGAAAUAUCAUUGCUUGGUAAAACAAGCUUGAAAUGGGCUAAAUGUAAACAUCGUGGCGAGAAACAAUUGGAGGGCAAGUCUGGUGCCAGCAGCCGCGGUAAUUCCAGCUCCAAUAGCGUAUAUUAAAGUUGUUGCAGUUAAAAAGCUCGUAGUUGAAAUUCUGCACCGAUUAUUGAAGUCUCUGAUGGAAAGAAAUCAGUGCAUCUUUCUGAGAAUGGGCAGGUAUUCUAUAUCUCGCACCGCUUAGAUAUUUUACCUUGAGAAAAAUAGAGUGUUUCAGGCAGGCAUGGCCGGAAUACGACAGCAUGGAAUAAUAGAAUUGACACUUUUCUGUGGUCGCAGAGGGGUGUAAAGGUUAAUAGGAACAGUUGGGGGCAUUAGUAUUUAAUUGUCAGAGGUAAAAUUCUUGGAUCUGUUAAAGACUAACUAAAGCGAAAGCAUUUGCCAAGGAUGUUUUCAUUAAUCAAGAACGAAAGUUAGGGGAUCAAAGACGAUCAGAUACCGUCGUAGUCUUAACUAUAAACGAUGCCGACUAGAGAUUGGAGGAGAUAUUCGAGCUCCUUCAGCAUCUAAGGAGAAAUCAAAGUCUUUGGGUUCUGGGGGGAGUAUGGUCGCAAGUCUGAAACUUGAAGGAAUUGACGGAAGGGCACCACCAGGAGUGGAGCCUGCGGCUCAAUUUGACUCAACACUGAGAAAUUUACCAGGUCCAGACAUUGGGAGGAUUGACAGAUUGAUAGCUCUUUCUUGAUUCUUUGGGUGGUGGUGCAUGGCCGUUCUUAGUUGGUGGAGUGAUUUGUCUGGUUAAUUCCGAUAACGAACGAGACCUUAACCUACUAACUAGAUCAUUGAGUUAUUCUCUUUGAAGCUUCUUAGAGGGACUGUGUGGUACAACCUCAAGGAAGUUUAAGGCAAUAACAGGUCUGUGAUGCCCUUAGAUGUCCUGGGCUGCACGCGUGCUACACUGAUGCACUCAAUUAGUUCCUGCUCCGAUAGGCAGCGGGCAAUCUUUAAAAUGCAUCGUGAUUGGGAUAGAUCUUUGGAAUUAUAGAUCUUAAACGAGGAAUUCCUAGUAAUCGUAAGUCAUCAGCUUGCGAUGACUACGUCCCUGCCCUUUGUACACACCGCCCGUCGCUCCUACCGAUUCCGAGUGAUUCGGUGAACCUUUUGGACUUGUCAAAAGCGAGGAAAUUAAGUAAACCAAAUCACUUAGAGGAAGGAGAAGUCGUAACAAGGUUUCCGUAGGUGAACCUGCGGAAG
rnacentral:rRNA from 1 species